UACGGAGGGGGCGAGCGUUGUUCGGAAUCAUUGGGCGUAAAGGGCGCGUAGGCGGUCGGGUAAGUCGGUUGUGAAAUCCCCUGGCUUAACCAGGGAAGUGCGUCCGAAACUGCCUGACUAGAGGCCGGGAGAGGAGAGUGGAAUUCCCAGUGUAGCGGUGAAAUGCGUAGAUAUUGGGAGGAACACCGGUGGCGAAGGCGGCUCUCUGGACCGGUUCUGACGCUGAGGCGCGAAAGCUAGGGGAGCAAACAGG
rnacentral:rRNA from 1 species